CUUCUAGUUAGCCGACCGGGGCUCCCCUGGGAGAGCGCGUGCUUUGCAAGCAUGAGGUCGUCGGUUCGAUCCCGUCUGGCUCCACCAGAUGGUUUGAUCACCGAGAUCUUGACCGUCGUCCGCGAAACAUCACUUCGCAUCCUGCUAGUCUGGAUAGACAGCAGUUUGCGUGUUUUCUGACAUCGUAAAGAGGAGAUCGAUCCGAGUUGGGUCGUGCAGCAUAUCGUUGCGCGAGCCUUCAUUAUCUCCGGAUCAUUUCGGCGCUCGCUUCCAGCCGUGAGGUUGGAUGCGGGUUGUAAAUGAUCCUUUUAGCGAAGCUUGACCGCCUCGCUAUCGGAACGAUCUUACGAAGCAAGCUGGUCUUUCUAGUCAAUGUCCGGCUGCGGAUAGCGUUCAUCGAGGGCGCGUGCCGCAAGGCAAUUCUGCAGACAACAUUCUGCCGAGUGUGUGGACAUUGAUAAUGAGAGCAAUCAAGUGCCUUAAGGGUGUUCGGUGGAUGCCUUGGCGCUGAGAGGCGAUGAAGGACGUGCUACGCUGCGAUAAGCCGUGGGGAGCUGCGAAGAAGCUUUGAUCCGCGGAUUUCCGAAUGGGGAAACC
rnacentral:misc_RNA from 1 species